CAGCCGCCACGGUAAUACGGAGGGUGCAAGCGUUAAUCGGAAUUACUGGGCGUAAAGCGCACGCAGGCUGUCUGUCAAGUCAGAUGUGAAAUCCCCGGGCUUAACCUGGGAACUGCAUUUGAAACUGGCAGGCUAGAGUCUUGUAGAGGGGGGUAGAAUUCCAGGUGUAGCGGUGAAAUGCGUAGAGAUCUGGAGGAAUACCGGUGGCGAAGGCGGCCCCCUGGACAAAGACUGACGCUCAGGUGCGAAAGCGUGGGGAGCAAACAGGAUUAGAGACCCCAGUAGUCCCUGUCUCUUAUAA
rnacentral:rRNA from 1 species